GUUUGGCCUGAGCUGAACUUCUCUCCGGCCCAAUCUUCUUUCCCGCCCCGCUUUCCCCCCAUUUCCACCUCGAUUCGGGUAAUCCGAGGGAAAAUGAAACCAAACAGGCACGCCAGGCCCGAAUGUUCCUCAGCCAAGGCUGGGAACCCCUUUCCCCUCCCGCCCCUUUAAUGGGUCGCAAACGCUGCAUCAGAGCCUCCCUUCAGUUCCCAGAUCCUCUUCCGAGGGGUUGGCGGCUCCUUCUCCGGUCCAAACCGACACUUUCCGCGGGAACGAUUUACUUUGCUGAAAAUGGCCAUCUUCCAGGAUCAAACAUGAGGUUUAAUAAAAUGGAAGAAGGGCGUUCCAAUCAAGCUGUAAUUAAUAUCCCUGUGGAUCAUAAAUAACUACCCAAACAUCAGCCACUUCCCUCCAGAGAACAGAUGGGAUGGAAAUAUUUGAAUGUUGUGUGUAUUUUUAACAUACAUAAAAAUCAAGCUUUAAAAUGUUCAUUAAGUCAGCAAAACAACAAUGUUCUUAUUUCUCUCUAAUUGUCCAGCCAUUUAGGCACCAGUGAGUGAGGAAUACACUUUUACCCACCCGUUCAAGCGUUUGAUUGGUGCUUGAUCUGACCAGUCUUCCAGAAGGAGAUAGUUGACUGGCUACUCCUCGUAGAGUGAGACUCUUAGCCUCUUCUAGGCCAACAGAGGCCUUCAUUUUUUGAGAUGUUGUGUUGGACGCAGAGGUGUCAAACUUGUGGUUUUCCAGGUGUUUGGGCUUCCAAAUCCCAGAAGCCCUAUCCAGCUUAUUCAAUGGCCAGGAAUUCCAAAACAUUUGGAGGGCCAUCAGUUUGACACCACUGUGUUGGAGGUAAGGCUUGGGGAUGAAUCCGGGAAUGAAAAAACGGCAUCUUGCUUGGAAACUGAGCUCUCUUCAAAUCCCUCAUCAAACUUCAACAACUGAGGGUGCAUCUAUACUGUAGGACUAAUGCAGUUUGACACUGUUUUAACUAUACUAUUUAGUCAUAAGAAUGGUAGUUUUAUGAGUCUUUAGCUUUUAGCAGUGGUGUCUCACCAAACUACAAAUUCAAGGAUUCUUUGAAUUGCGUCUUGGCAGUUCAAGUGGUGUCAAACUGCAUUAAUUCUAUAGUGCCAAUCAAUGCAUUCUGAAAUAUUGUCACUUCCUUAUUCCGUAUUCCACUUUCAAGUGGUUGACUCCAUAGGACUGUCGUGAGAAAGGACUCUGCUUCCUCACAAGAAUGCCACUGUGCUCUUUGUAAUGUCCUGGCGAUUCAGCCCUUCAUGUCUGAACAACAAAAAUGCUAAACAUCAGAGGUCCUUAAUAGGACACAACAUUUCUGACUUUGUUAAAAAACACUCACUAAGUUUAGCUGGAUUAGUGUUUAACAAUGGGACCAGGAAACGGUCAGAGCUUCAGAUGAAAUAAUUCCUUCCAAGAAAUAAAGGCAUACAGUCCUAUCAGUCUGUUAAAAUUAUCAAAAUAUUCAAACAAGAAUGUUGUAUAAACUCUUCACUUCAACAAAGAUCCUAAAGAAAGCAUUCCCAGAUUCCUUCCACUUCAGGAUCACACAUGAACUAACCUAUUGUAAACGCCAUGCCCUCUUGCAUUAACAAAUCGCUUUUGUUUUCUGCAAAACAAAGCAAAAUAUUUUAUUAAUCACAAAAGAAUACAAUCAUUCAAUGUCAUAUGCAAACUGUUGUUCUUUUGCAUUUUUGUGGGGUUAAGAACUGUUGGAAAUUACAACCUUCUUCAAGCCUCCUCUAGUAAUUUGUUAAUCUAUGAUUCUGUUUGCUUACUGUUUUAUAUAUAUGUUCUGGUAUGCAGCUUCUUUAGCUCUAUGUUUCCUGAGAGGUUGUGGGGAGGCUGACCUGAUCUGAGACUGCUCACAGAUCUGAUCACAUGACCUGAUCUGAGACUGCUCACAGAUCUGAUCACAUGACCUGAUCUGAGACUGCUCACACCUCAGACUCUAGUUUAGAGUCUCUUUAGAGACUUUAGACUGAAGAGCCAUCAAAUGCUUGCUGUUGUUGUAAGAAAAAUGCCCUGUGCCAUCUGCACAAACUAUCUCAAACAUAUCUGAAAUUGGACUGAUAUGCUAUGUACCUGUAUUAUGCUGAACACAUGAAGUUGUGAGUAAACCAAAUAUGUUAUUUUACCAAAGCCUACUUCAUUUUUGUCUCUUGAGCACAUGAUACAAAACAAGUUUUUCUGGGAGAGUAAAUAUAUUUUUGGGCACUGAAAAACAUUUCUGAAACUCUGCUGUUUUUGUGCAAACUGCUGUUUUUCUAACAGAUCAGAGACAAUAGGUUCAGUCUAACAACUAAAGACAUUGCCUUGCAUAUUACAUCUGGUUGUAUACCAUAUGAAAAGAUUAUACUCAAACAGGGUUUUGGCUCUUCUCGGAAAGAUCAAACUUUUCCAAAAGAUUAUGAUCUCCAAAAGUUAUGAAUGUCAUUUUCCAAAAAGAACAACUCCCAUCCACGCGAGCAGCUGAAGGUUUCCAAAGCCUAAAAGCAGAGGCUCAACGUCCUUGCUUCAGGUUUGGGGUAUGGCCUUUUUUAAAUAACAAAAGCGUGUUAAAAGUAUAAGAGAACUAGCUGUGCCCGGCCACGCGUUGCUGUGGCAUUGUCUGGUGGUGUUGGUGAGAAAUUGUAGAGGUAGUGGUGGUAUUGAAUGUCUGUUGUAUGGUUGUCUUUAUGUUUAGUAUGCACACUGAAGUGGAUUAUAUGGCAGUGUGGAGUCAAGAUAAUCCAGUUCAAAGCAGAUAAUAUAAGAUUCUAAAUGGGUUAUAUAGCUGUGUGGAAGGACCUUGAGUCUAUACUGCCAUAUAAUCCAGUUAAAAUCUGAUAAUCUGUGGAAGAGGCCUAAGUGAGGCCUAACUGUGCCUGUCCCCUGGGCUGAGUUGGUUGCUAGGAGACCAAGUGGGCGGAGCUUAGCCUUCUAAUUGGCAGCAAUUGGAUAAAAACUAUUAUUCCUCUCCCUGUAAUUAGGACUUUAUUUUUUCUUUUCUUUUUGUUGUAUCAACCUAGAGCCGUGAAUGAUGGGUUGUUGUCAAAUUUCAAGGUUGGGGUAGUUUUGUUGUUUUGUCCGCUGCCCUGAUGUCAUCACUCUUUUAUAUAUAUAGAUGCACUUUGUUCAAAAUAAGGGUUUUUUUGACCCAAAACAUUCCCUCCUCCUAGCCCAAUGUUUACAGUUAUUUACUUUUCCUUUGUUUAUUGUUGUUUGUGCCCUUUCCUAGUUACUUGCUGGACUGC
rnacentral:lncRNA from 1 species